rnacentral:lncRNA from 1 species
GCAUAUGGAUGUUCCCAGGCUAGGGAUCAAAUCAGAGGUGCCGCUGCCAACCUACGCCACAGCCACAGCAACGCAAGAUCCAAGCCACAUCUGUGAACGAAGACCACAGCUUGUGACAACACCCGAUCCUUAACCCACUGAGCGAAGCCAGGGAUUGAACCUGCAUCAUCAUGGACACUAGAUUGGAUCCUUAAUGUGCUGAGCCACAACAAGAAUGCCAUAAAAUAUCAGACAAUCUUUAAUUUUCUUUUUUUUCUUUCCUUUUUUUUUUUUUUUUUGUCUUUUUAUGGCUUGUAUUUGAGGCAUAUGGAGUUUCCCAGACUAGGGGUCAAAUCGGAGCUCUAGCUGCUGGCCUAUGCCACAGCCGCAGCAAUACGAGACACAAGCCACAUCUGCGACCUACACCACAGCUCUCAGCAACGCUGGAUCCUUAACCCACUGAGUGAGGCCAGGGAUCAAACCUGCAUUCUCAUGGCUACUAGUCAGAUUCAUUUCUGCUGAGCCAUGAAGGGAACUCCAAUAUCAGACAAUCUUUAAAAGGACGACAUUAAAUAGUCACACAACAGUCCAUUACAUUAGAAGUCCUAUAUAUAUUUUUGAUUAAUCAACAGUUUGUUUCUGGAAGUUAUGUUAUUCCCAACUCUUUAUCAUUCAGAAAUAAAUGACAUAUAAACAUUAUUGUAUGCUAAUCUCUGUAUACAUCUUUGACUAAGCUCAUAAAAUAAAUUUGUAGAUGUUAAUAUUAAUCUUAAUGACGCUGCUAAACUCCUAUCUAGAAAAAUUACACAGUUUAGUCUGGAGAAUAUUUCAGAUUAAAAGGAGAAACAGAUAUGCAAUGAAACGCUAUGGUUUAAAAGUAUAAAAGACAAAAUUAUGACAAAUAUUUUGCACAUACAGUAUAUUCUAAUCACAAAAAAUGUUUUCUUGUCCUUGAAAGAGUUUGAUCUCAUGAGUCCCAGGUAUACUAUGGAACAAAAUGUCAAAUUAUUGCCUUAUACUAAUUCAGCCCCAGAGCACUAAAGAUACAAAAAGACCCACAUGUACAACAGUUUAAUAUUUUAUAAUUAUUUAUACAACAGAUCACAGAAGCAUGUAAACCACUUAUUUUUCAUUAUAAAUAAUGAAACAGGUCAUUUUCUGCCUUUCAUGCAUCACUAAAUAGCAAGCAUGUAAGACAUUUGUCUUUUGACAGAUUUGCCCUUCUAUACUCAAAAUAAUCCUGCAGUAUAUUAUAAUGUCCAUAGAAUUUUGCAUGCCAAAACAUCGUAUUGAUAAGAACUGUGAAACUGCUAUCCUUAGAAAUCAUUAGGAAUGGCCAAAACUCAGUCUUAUAAAAGUGAAUGCUCUGCUGUGGCUGGAGGAAUGGGCUUGGGCAGAAUGUUGUGCUUCUGAACAAUGACUCAGGAACAUCUGUGUUCCUGACUUCCUCCCUAUGAAUCAGUAUCUCUGGGAAAAAACUAUUGCAAAUUUCUCUCUAUUAUGAAUAAUCUUAAGCAACUAUGAACGAGAGUUGAUUUUUCCCUCAUGGCAGAACACGCUUCAUAAAGAGGGGAAAAGGCAAAGGUCUAUAAAGUGACAGAACUCUAUCUCCAUUUUGGGAACAGCACUCAGUCAGAGAAUUGUAAGUUCCAAUAGGAGAAGAAAAACAUAAUUCAAUAGUAGGCACAUCUUCUAGAGACUAUCGGUUAUUAAACACUUACAUUAACUCAUUCUGCUACACAGUAGGGAAAGCAGGGGAAAAACCUAGCCUCAAUGAUGACAGCGUUAAAAGGCAUUACUGUCAGUACUGCUUGUCAAAAUUUUUAUUACAAUUUUCUAGCAUGUGACUGCUCUCUAGUUCCCUAAUCUAUUUACAAGAUGAACAUCUUAUUUUAGCUUUUUACUAUUCAAGAAGCAAACAUGCACUGUGGCACAGAAUCAGACAAUUAUAAAAUAAGAUUCCUGCAUUUUUUAUGUCAAAGAAAACACAUUCCAGUUUUUCCAGCUCUUCCAAGCAUUCUGAUAAUUGAUGGAUAGAUACAGAUACACACACACACACACACACACACACACACAUACACGAUCUCUAAACAGUGUUGCAUUCAAAAGAAAGCCACAAUCAAAGACAGGCUGUCAUCACACAAUUCAUAAAGAUGAGAUUUUUUAAUUGUAUAAUAUAAUUCAUUAUAAAAUUUAUGACUAAACACUGUUCACUUCAUAUAGAAAGUAGUGGCAAUUAUGCUUGGAAGUAAUUUUGUGUUUUUACAAUUGCUAAGUGUAAUUUUAGAAUGAAAAACUGUUACAAAGUGCAAAUACAACGUCUAUCCAAAACACUGAUUUUUUUAAAUCACACUGCAUUCAGUUCUCUCAGGGUUGCCAUAUUCACAGAUGCUAUACAACACUUGAUAUUGUUUGAUAACGUGAUAAUGUACAUUUUUUCUCAAAGAUCUAUGCAUAUGUAUGUUUCUCCUGGAUAAGGUAGAAAAAAGAUUGUUUAUUCCAGAUUUCUUGAGCUGUCAAACUGGAGAACAAUGAAACUGUUCUGUAGAGUAGAAUCUGAGCCUCCAUUUUAAACUAUUCGGUCCGUGGAUAACUCACAGUCUAAUUUGAACCGAGAAGCUAGUUUAACCUUUCGCCAACAGCCACUUUGUGGAUCCACCCAAAUGCAUUACUAUCCAUGAAAUAAGCACGACCAAAAUUCAGUUAAGACUCUUUUCUUUUAUAAGUAUAUGCUUAAUCUCUAGACACUUAAUCCACCCAGUGUCAUAAUUUUAGAAAUUCUAAACUUGGUUACUUAAUAGUAUAACAUUUGGAAAUUUAAAAUAUUUAUGGAAGUAUUCCACUAAGAAAGAGCCUUUUUGCUCACAAUGUUUAUAAUUUAAAACAUUUAUCUGGUUCAUGCGGUUUAUUUGAGGAAACAAUAGCGUUUCCUGUGAUGUUUAAUAACUUCUCCAAAUUAAGUAAACACUUAGCCAGAAAAAAAGCUUCACUAAACAAAAGGGAAAAGGAUAAAUUACUUUUUGAAAUUGUCAGAGUGCCUAAGGGAGUCAGUAGUUUUGUUUCUCAAUUCCUCCCUAAUUUGCCUUGAAAGUUUACAUGAAGAGGUUAACUCUUAAACCAACACUGACCAAUAGAAAUUAAGAUGAGCCAUCUAUGUAAUUUUAAGUUUUCUAAUAGCCACAUUAAGGAAGUAAAAAAAAAAACAUUUAAUUUUGAUAAUAUAUUUUAUUUAAUUCAAUUUAAACAAAAUAUCACUUUAACAUGUAAUCAAUAUAAAAUUUAUUAGUGAGAUGUUUUACAUUCUUUUGUUCAUACUAAGUUUAAAAAUCCCAAUUGUGUGUGUAUUUUAAACUUAAGACACAUCUCAGUUUGGACUAGCUAUAUUUCAAGGGCUCCACAGUUGGUAAUAACAUAUUGUACGAUGCAGCUUUAGGCUUCUUGUUCUUCACUUACUGAAUGAUAUGGUUUAUAAAGGGUAUUUUAGCCCUCAGUUUUUAAAAUUUUAAUUCUGGUUCAACCUCACCAAUGAUAAUAAGUGAAGUUCUUCCUUAUAAAUAUGCAUAAACAGGAGUUCCCAUUGUGGCUAAGCAGAAACGAAUCUGACUAGGAACCAUUAAGUUGCAGGUUCGAUCCCUGGCCUCACUCAGUGGGUUAGGGAGCUGGUGUUGCUCUGAGCUGCAGUGUAGGUUUCAGACAUGGCUCAGAUCUGGCAAUGCUGUGGUUUUGGCAUAGGCCGGCGGCUAUAGCUCCAAUUUGACUCCUAGCCUGGGAACCUCCAUAUGCUCCAUGAAAUUAUGUCAUAAUUAUAAUUAGUACAAAGUUAUUCAAUAAUUUAAAAAAGAAACAAAAUGUUCAAUAGAACUGUCAUAUAUAAGAGAAAUGAUAAGUCCUACUAAUAAUCUCUGAGCAGUGUUUUUGUUUAGAUUUAUAUACAUCAGAGUAGUCCACUGAAAUUUCCAUGUUACUGCUGGAGUUUACCAAAAGAAGAUUUUACUAACACUCAAACUUAAAUCAUUAAAAGUUUAAAGCUCCUAUGAUAAAUAAGUCACUUUCCUUAUAAAUACGCCAAGUAAACCAAUGAAAAUCUAAAAACCAACUGGCUCAUUAUCACAUAUAUUAAGAGAACACUUUUUUAAAAGUUUAAAGACAAUGUUUUUAUUGACAGAAGAAAGACUAUAAAUUUAGAAAGUUAGAUGAUGAAAAAUAAAAAUAAAAUUAGUUGAAGUAAUAAUAAAGGUAAGAACAAAAAUUAAAUAAUAAAAAAAGAUUUACAGGCAAUCAUUAAGCCUGAAGUUAAUUCUUUGAAAAAACAAAAUGAUUCAGAUAAAAUUUUAGUGAGUAUGAAACAUUAAAAUGAUAUAGGAAAGAGGCUAAAUAAAUACUAGGAAAGAAAAAGAGAACAUAAUCAGAGAUACAACAGAGUUAAAAGAUAUUAAAAUAAUUCCAUAAAUAGUUUUAUGCCAUUAAUUUGAAAACUUUCAUCAAAUGGAAAAAUCUAUAUCAAAAUAUAAUCAGUCUCAAGAAGGAAUAAAAAUAAAAAUCCAAAUAUAUUUACAACCAUUAAAAAAAUGGAAUUACUAGCUUAAAAAAAUAUCUUUCCACAAUUAGUAUACAGAAUCAGAGAUUUUUAUAUGCAAGUCUCAUCAGACUUUGAAUAAACAAAGAAUUUCAAUCAUGUACUUUCCCAGGACAUAGGAAAAAAGGAGAGGGAGGAAGGGUGAAGUGAUUUAUUUUCCAACUCUAUGACACCAACAUAAUCUUGACAACAAAACCAGGAAAUGGGAAAAGAACAGAAAGUAAUAUGUCUAUCUUAUAUAUAAUAUAGGUAUGGUGAACAAAACACUAAAAAGCAAAUCCAGUGACUCAUAAAAACAUUUCUACUGUUUAAGUUCAUCUUUUUGGAAUGUUAAGAAGAUUACCAUUGAAAGAUCUAUUUUUAAAAGAUCUAUAAAUGUUAUUCAUUCUUCAUAUCAACAGGUUUAAAAGAGAAAAUCAUUACCAUCUCAACAAAUAUUAGCAUCAUUUCUAAUAGCUCAUUGGCACACCUCCAGAUGACCCAAUCCCCCUUAAAAUGCCUGCCUGAAGAAAGUUCAACAGUGCCAGAAAAACUUAACUCUUUCUGAAAAAUUAAGUUUUCUUCUUCGUAAAUUAAUGUAGAUAUAUUUAAGGAAUACCUUUAUGGCAAACUCUAAAACCUGACUUUCUGUCAGCUGUGUUUUCUGCAAAAAAAUAGAUUUACUUCUGAGUGUCAAUUAUUUGUGAAUACAGAAUAACAAAAAGAAACUUGUGAAAAACUAUCUGCAUAUGAUAUGUGCGAGUGGUUUUCACUUGUGGGCUUUCUUAAAUUCUUCUUCUUUUUCUUCUUACUUUUUUUCCUCCCAUCUCAACUUUGGCUUUUAUUGGAGCAUUCUAAACUCAUUUAGCUGGAAAACCAAAUUCCCUGCAGUCCCAUUAAGUAUGUUACUAAGCAAACUACCUAGCAGCCUCUAUAAGAAGGAGGUCUGGAUGGGAGCCAGCCCUGUAAGUUGAGAGUGGGUCAGUGCAUUUUUAAACCAUCACAUCAUUAAAGAAGAAAAGAGUCUUGCUGCUUUGCCAACUUAUAUUUCUUUCCAGGACAAUAUAUACACUUACUGACCUAUGCUAAAUUCAUCUUGCUUUUGUACUCCUGUCUUUGAAGCAUCUUCUGUAUUGCUGUAUAGAUCGGACUUAACAAGCACUCCCUUAAUUUGAAAAACAGACCUAAAGAUAAUCUUGAAGAUCUGCUUGUAUACCUUUCAAGCAAGGUUGUGAGUGACAGUCUAGACUCUUCCUGCAAUCCCUCUAUAGGAAAUAAAUUGUCAUGAGGAAAUAAUCUAGUUUCUACACCUGACCUCGCAAGUAAAUUUUCUAUGGGUUUUUAAGUGGGUAUUAGAUCAUCUGUUACCAAAUUAAAUCUUAUUAGUCUGCUAGGGCUACUAUAACAAAGUACUACAAACUAUGUGGCUUAAAUGACAGAAUUUUUUUGGUUUCUUUAUGCAUGUAUACAUUCAGGAUUUGUUUCAAAAAGCAACCUAGAGUUUAACAGUAAAAUUGCUGAAAGUGAGUCUCAUGUUUGGCACAUGUUAGGGCUUAACAUUAGGAAGAAAAGACUACUUCUAAGAAUGCUUUCCUAAAAAAGGAAAUAGGGGAGUUCCUGCUGUGGCUCAGUGGGUUAAGAACAUGACUAGUAUCCAUGAGGAUGAGGGCUCGAUCCCUGGCCUCGCUCAGUGGGUUAAGGAU